rnacentral:pre_miRNA from 14 species
CGGCCCGGUUCAAGUAAUCCAGGAUAGGCUGUUCCAGCCCGGCCUGUUCCCGGUUACUUGUCCCGGGAGG